rnacentral:rRNA from 1 species
UUUGAGGGUAUAAAUAGUCUGGUCUGCUCACUGACAAAUAUUGUUUAAGAGCCGCGGUAUUUUGACCGUGCAAAGGUAGCAUAAUCAUUAGUCUUUUAAUUGGAAACUUGUAUGAAAGAUCGGACAAAAGAAAAGCUGUCUUUGUUGCAAGUAUUGAAGUUAACUUUUAAGUGAAAAGGCUUAAAUAAACCAAAGGGACGAUAAGACCCUAUAAAGCUUUAUAUGUUAUUUAAGUUUAAUUAAAUUAUUAUAAUAAAAAUUUAGUUUAGUUGUCAUAUUUUAUUGGGGCGGUAUAAGUAUAAUUUGUAUUAACUACUUAAAUUUAAUACAGAGAUAUUUGGGAGAAUAAUUGUAAUUGAUCCUUUUUAAAGAUUAGAAGACUAAGUUACUUUAGGGAUAACAGCGUAAUUUCUUUUGAGAGUCCGUAUCGAAAAAGGAGCUUGCGACCUCGAUGUUGAAUUAAAAUGUCUAUAUAAUGUAGCCGUUAUAUAAGAAGGUCUGUUCGACCUUU